rnacentral:rRNA from 1 species
CCCUUAGAUGUUCUGGGCCGCACGCGCGCUACACUGACGAAUGCAACGAGCUUAUAACCUUGGCCGAAAGGUCUGGGUAAUCUCCAAAUUUCGUCGUGAUGGGGAUAGAUUAUUGCAAUUAUUAAUCUUCAACGAGGAAUGCCUAGUAAGCGCAAGUCAUCAGCUUGCGCUGAUUACGUCCCUGCCCUUUGUACACACCGCCCGUCGCUCCUACCGAUUGAAUGGUCCGGUGAAGCGUUCGGACCGUGGCCUUUGGACGGUUCGCCGUCUGUUGGCUGCGGGAAGUUCGUUAAACCUUAUCAUUUAGAGGAAGGAGAAGUCGUAACA